GAUGAACGCUGGCGGCGUGCCUAAUACAUGCAAGUCGAGCGAACAGACGAGGAGCUUGCUCCUCUGACGUUAGCGGCGGACGGGUGAGUAACACGUGGAUAACCUACCUAUAAGACUGGGAUAACUUCGGGAAACCGGAGCUAAUACCGGAUAAUAUAUUGAACCGCAUGGUUCAAUAGUGAAAGACGGUUUUGCUGUCACUUAUAGAUGGAUCCGCGCCGCAUUAGAUAGUUGGUAAGGUAACGGCUUACCAAGGCAACGAUGCGUAGCCGACCUGAGAGGGUGAUCGGCCACACGGGAACUGAGACACGGUCCAGACUCCUACGGGAGGCAGCAGUAGGGAAUCUUCCGCAAUGGGCGAAAGCCUGACGGAGCAACGCCGCGUGAGUGAUGAAGGUCUUCGGAUCGUAAAACUCUGUUAUUAGGGAAGAACAAAUGUGUAAGUAACUAUGCACGUCUUGACGGUACCUAAUCAGAAAGCCACGGCUAACUACGUG
rnacentral:rRNA from 1 species